GGGAUCGUAGCUCAGCUGGUUAGAGCACCUGCCUUUUAAGCAGGGUGUCGUGGGUUCAAGCCCCACCGAUCCCUCCA
rnacentral:tRNA from 1 species